rnacentral:lncRNA from 1 species
CAGAAGAGUAAUAGGUCUGUAAGAGACACAUUGAAUGAUCUAACAAUUCCCCUGCUGCCAGUACACACAAUACAGUGUGAUGGGUGAUUUUGCUACUUCUAAGCUAAUGAAGAAUUGAGGAUAAGCCUCCCUGACUCUACAGAAGCAAAGUCCAGAGAUGGGAGUGGGGGAGAGAGAGCCUCAUUGUGAUGUCACCUGAGCUCCUGGGUCCAGCUUGUCUCAUGAGCUGAGAGUUGCUGAAUUCCCAAGUGCUCUCCAUUCCUCUGAU